rnacentral:rRNA from 1 species
UACAGAGGGUGCGAGCGUUAAUCGGAAUUACUGGCGUAAAGCGUGCGUAGACGGUAGCGUAAGUCAGAUGUGAAAGCCCGGCUCAACCUGGAACUGCAUUUGAGACUGCUCUGCUCGGGUGCGGAAGAGGAAGCGGAAUUUCCGGUGUAGCGGUGAAAUGCGUAGAUAUCGUAAGGAACACCUGUGGCGAAAGCGGCUUACUGGGUCUUUCUGACGCUGAUGCACGAAAGCUAGGGGAGCAAACGGG